UAGGGAAUUUUGGACAAUGGGCGAAAGCCUGAUCCAGCAAUGCCGCGUGUGUGAAGAAGGCCUUCGGGUUGUAAAGCACUUUUGUCCGGAAAGAAAUCCUUGGCUCUAAUACAGUCGGGGGAUGACGGUACCGGAAGAAUAAGCACCGGCUAACUACGUGCCAGCAGCCGCGGUAAUACGUAGGGUGCAAGCGUUAAUCGGAAUUACUGGGCGUAAAGCGUGCGCAGGCGGUUUGCUAAGACCGAUGUGAAAUCCCCGGGCUCAACCUGGGAACUGCAUUGGUGACUGGCAGGCUAGAGUAUGGCAGAGGGGGGUAGAAUUCCACGUGUAGCAGUGAAAUGCGUAGAGAUGUGGAGGAAUACCGAUGGCGAAGGCAGCCCCCUGGGCCAAUACUGACGCUCAUGCACGAAAGGCGUGGGGGAGCAAACAGGAUUAGAUACCCUGGUAGUCCACGCCCUAAACGAUGUCAACUAGUUGUUGGGGAUUCAUUUCCUUAGUAACGUAGCUAACGCGUGAAGUUGACCGCCUGGGGAGUACGGUCGCAAGAUUAAAACUCAAAUGAAUUGACGGGGUCAUAGCUGUUUCCU
rnacentral:rRNA from 1 species